UACGUAGGGGGCGAGCGUUGUCCGGAUUUAUUGGGCGUAAAGAGCUCGUAGGCGGUUUGGUAAGUUGGAUGUGAAAUCUCCAGGCUCAACUUGGAGGGGUCAUUCGAUACUGCCAUGACUAGAGUUCGGUAGGGGAGUGUGGAAUUCCUGGUGGAGCGGUGAAAUGCGCAGAUAUCAGGAGGAACACCGAUGGCGAAGGCAGGUCUCUGGGCCAUAACUGACGCUGAGAAGCGAAAGCAUGGGGAGCGAACAGG
rnacentral:rRNA from 1 species